rnacentral:rRNA from 1 species
CACGGGGGAUGCAAGCGUUAUUCGGAAUUAUUGGGCGUAAAGUGCGUGUAGGCGGUAUUGUCGGUCAGAUGUGAAAGCCCGGGGCUCAACCCCGGACGUGCAUUUGAAACAGCAAUACUUGAGUACGGGAGAGGAAAGCGGAAUUCCUGGUGUAGAGGUGAAAUUCGUAGAUAUCAGGAGGAACACCGAUGGCGAAGGCAGCUUUCUGGACCGAUACUGACGCUGAGGCGCGAAGGCGUGGGUAGCGAACAGGAUUAGAUACCCUGGUAGUCCACGCAGUAAACGAUGUUCACUAGGUGUAGCGGGUAUUAAAAUCUGCUGUGCCGCAGUUAACGCAUUAAGUGAACCGCCUGGGGAGUACGGUCGCAAGACUAAA